rnacentral:rRNA from 1 species
GACAGAGGAUGCAAGCGUUAUCCGGAAUGAUUGGGCGUAAAGCGUGCGCAGGCGGUGAUGUAAGACCGAUGUGAAAUCCCCGGGCUUAACCUGGGAACUGCAUUGGUGACUGCAUUGCUGGAGUAGUGGCAGAGGGGGGUGGAAUUCCACGUGUAGCAGUGAAAUGCGUAGAGAUGUGGAGGAACACCGAUGGCGAAGGCAGCCCCUGGGCCAAUACUGACGCUCAUGCACGAAAGCGUGGGGAGCAAACAGG